rnacentral:rRNA from 1 species
GGAUUAGAUACCCUGGUAGUCCACACCGUAAACGCUGUCUAUUAGCUGUGUGUGUAUUUAAUACGUGCGUAGCGCAGCCAACGCGAUAAAUAGACCGCCUGGGGAGUACGGCCGCAAGGUUAAAACUCAAAUGAAUUGACGGGGGCCCGCACAAGCGGUGGAGCAUGUGGUUUAAUUCGAUGCAACGCGAAGAACCUUACCUACUCUUGACAUAUCCAGGAUUUACUAGAGAUAGUUUAGUGCCUUCGGGAACUGGAAUACAGGUGCUGCAUGGCUGUCGUCAGCUCGUGUCG